CUCACACACACAGGUUCUAGAGAGGAGAAACUACCAAGAGAUAAGAAUCAUGUCUGUGGAAAUCCACAUAGAAUAUUGUAGUGGAUGAGGGUACGAGUCUCGCUAUCAGGACCUGGCAUCCGCCAUCAAGCGGAAUGUUCCUGAUGCGACGGUGACGGGAACCACAGGGCGGCGUUCCAGUUUCGAGGUAACAGUGAAUGGUAAACUGGCUUACUCUAAACUGGAGGCAGGAGGAUUCCCAGACACCAAGGAGCUGGUGGCGAUGGUGAGGGAGGUGAGCCACGGAGGAAAGGUGGAGAAAGUGAAGAAGAAGGAUAAGUGCGUUCUCCAAUAGAUGAGUGGAGAGAGAUGAGGAGGAAAGGAGAGAGCCGGACAGGAGGAGGAAGAGUGUUUUCUAAGAUCCUGGUUCCUGAUCUGAUUCUAUUAAUGAUUGUUCACAAUUAAACUAGGGAUGUGCAACAUGAUGAAGACUAGUCAUUUCAACUGUCUGGGAUCUGAGGGAAAUACUCAUCCUGUGACUGUUUUAUACAAUCAUGUCAUUUUAUGUUAUUCCUUGUCUGUUUUUCUUUCGUUACACAGACAAAAAUAUUAUAUUCAACUGACCAACAUUUAGAUUUACAUUCUAUAAAUUAUAUUGUACUCAAUGUAGAUCUCUGCAGUUGUAUAGGCUUUACGUGUAUUUUUAAAUGAUCAAAUAAAUUCAAUUUAUCAAUUGG